UGGGAGCGCCGGUGUCGCCGCGUCGGGGGGGAGGGGCGGCCGCGGCGCCGCCCGCUGAGGGGACCGGCCCGUCCCGGGUGUGUCCGGCGGGACGGUCGCUGCCCUGUGAGGCUCCGGGAGGGAGGAGCGUUGAGGUGGAGCGGUCGCUAUUUGAAGCGCUUUCUGAGCAUCCAGGUCACCGUGUCUUUCUGACUUGCAUUGACCAGUGUGUCUCGGCUGUUCCUUCUGCAGUUUCUUCUCGUUAACUUGGCCUCUGACGUUUGUGGACGAGGCGCCGGGUCUGCAGGGUGCCCGCAAAUGCCACGCGACUAGACGGCACUUUGUGUGUGUCUCGGAGGCGUGAGCUGCGCAUUUCCCUCCUGAAACUCCGGGGAGAAUCCCCCUCCCCGCCGCCUCCCGCCGCCCGCGCCCCGUCAGCGUCGUGUGUUCCCGUCACUGGGAACGGCCUUUCGGAUCUCACAGAAGCAUGACUGAACCAAUGUUUAACUUUUACCCCUAAGAGAGGGCCAAUCCAGAAAGAACCUUUGACUUGGUAUUGAAAGUGAAAUGUCAUGCCUCUGAAAAUGAAGAUCCUGUGGUUUUGUGGAAAUUCCCAGAGGACUUUGGAGACCAGAUGCCAGAACGCUAGCGAGUCAGAACAUUGUGAUCAUCCUCUGUGGAAACAAGAAGGACCUGGAUGCAGAUCGCGAAGUUACGUUCAUAGAAGCCUCCAGAUUUGCUCAAGAAAA